GAUGAGCGCUAGCUACAGGCUUAACACAUGCAAGUCGAGGGGCAGCAUGGUCUUAGCUUGCUAAGGCCGAUGGCGACCGGCGCACGGGUGAGUAACACGUAUCCAACCUGCCGUCUACUCUUGGACAGCCUUCUGAAAGGAAGAUUAAUACAAGAUGGCAUCAUGAGUCCGCAUGUUCACAUGAUUAAGGGUAUUCCGGUAGACGAUGGGGAUGCGUUCCAUUAGAUAGUAGGCGGGGUAACGGCCCACCUAGUCUUCGAUGGAUAGGGGUUCUGAGAGGAAGGUCCCGCACAUUGGAACUGAGACACGGUCCAAACUCCUACGGGAGGCAGCAGUGAGGAAUAUUGGUCAAUGGGCGCAGGCCUGAACCAGCCAAGUAGCGUGAAGGAUGACUGCCCUAUGGGUUGUAAACUUCUUUUAUAAAGGAAUAAAGUCGGGUAUGUAUACCCGUUUGCAUGUACUUUAUGAAUAAGGAUCGGCUAACUCCGU
rnacentral:rRNA from 1 species